CGUUCCCGGGUCUUGUACACACCGCCCGUCACACCAUGGGAGCGGGUUUUACCAGAAGUAGGUAGCUUAACCGCAAGGAGGGCGCCUACCACGGUAGGAUUCGUGACUGGGGUG
rnacentral:rRNA from 1 species